rnacentral:rRNA from 1 species
AUUGAACGCUGGCGGCAGGCCUAACACAUGCAAGUCGAGCGAGCGGCGGACGGGUGAGUAAUGUCUGGGAAACUGCCUGAUGGAGGGGGAUAACUACUGGAAACGGUAGCUAAUACCGCAUACCAUCAGAUGUACCCAGAGGGGAUUAGCUAGUAGGUGGGGUAACGGCUCACCUAGGCGACGACCCCUAGCUGGUCUGAGAGGAUGACCAGCCAAACUGGAACUGAGACACGCUCCAGACUCCUCGGGGAGGCAGCAGGGGGGAAUAGGGCAAAAUGGGCGAAAGCCGGAUGCAGCCAUGCGGGGUGUGUGAAGAGGGCUUUCGGGUUGUAAAGCACUUUCAGCGGGGAGGCGUUACCCGCAGAAGAAGCACCGGCUAACUCCGUGCCAGCAGCCGCGUAAUAC